rnacentral:lncRNA from 10 species
GCCUGAGCCUCCUCUCAAUUCAUAGGACCUUCUCUUGAGGGUGGAGGAGGAUUGUGGGCAGACAAAGAGAGAACUGACUGGAUAGGGCACCUUCACAAAUGUUUUUCCUGAAGCCUACAGAAUGGCAUUUUUCUGUUUGUGUUGAAGUUGUCCAACCGGUAUUUUCAAAUGAUGGAUUUCUGGAAAAUUGGAGCCUGGAGGGUGACUUUUCAUAAGAUAGGCUCUGAUCUUUGAUCCAUUUAAAAAACUGCAUACUGGUAGGAAGACUGCAUCGCUGCAGCAAGAAAGUAACCUGGCACACAUGACUCUUCUGAAGUGCUCAUAACUUUCCUAAGAACAUUCCCAGCAUCUGAUCAUCACUGCAGAAAUGGUGAAAACAAGAGGUCACCUCCUAUAUUUUCAAGACAAGAAAACAGAGAAGCAAGUGUCAGUCCUGGGAUUCAUCCCCAGGCCUCCUGGCCAUCUGUUCAGGUUUCCUUCCUGCAGACCAGGCCAUCUCAAUGACCUUCAGAAGGUGGCCAAGGACCCUGUGAUUCUGUGACAUGGCUGGCCAGUCAUGUUAUACUGUGUCUGUGUAUUUAUGUGUACCUAUGGUAGACAUGAGAUGCUCUGUCCAGGUGUCCAGAUCUUCCUUCAAGAAAGAAGGAUCAAACAGCCUCCAGCAUCAGGAGCUUCAGGGUUGGCCUCAGCUGCUGAGAACUGCCUCACUUGCGGUCAAAUCUUUCCAGGACAACCUGUGUCAGAUGACUGAGCAAGACGGGUCAUAAAAGUCCGGCCACUUUGGCCUCACUUGGGACAGCUCUGACAGGCAAUAUUUGAUCUGAAACUUCCUGCCAGAUUGGCAGGAGCUUUGUCAGGCCUGCAUCAACAUUUGCCUUCUCCCUCUGCCCGAUCCUGCAUCUGCCCGCUUCUUUCCACAGAUGAUCAGGCAACAUUGGCCCUUUAUUCUUGAAUAAGAGACUAUUGGUUGGGGCUGAAGAGUGGCUUCCUCCUUUAGAGAGACGAGUUCUCCAGCUUGUCAAAGUCCCCAGAACUUUCUACAGACUUGUACCUGUUCACCUCCCUCCCUUGUGUUAUCUCCCUGACUCCUAUGAACAUCUGAGCUUUUCUUUUGACAAAUAUAGAUGGUUCAACAGAUGGAAAGCAGAAUCUUUCCUGUGCUACCAUAUCUUUUUGAUUCGAUAUGGAUCUUUAAGAAUUGGAUUUCUCUCGGUUUAAGGCCACGAGAGCCUUUUGCUGGGUCCUUGGUUUAGCUAAGCACUCAGGGCCACUAUCGCUGCCCUCUGUCACUCACCACCCCCAGAAAAAGGUGUUCUCCAUGGACACAUGGCAGGGAACAACACAUACUGGGGCCUGUCGGGGGAUAGGGGGUGGGAGGAGGG